AGCCCUGCACAAGGCCGCACGUACGGAGACAGGGCUCUCGUGAACCAUUACAUCCCACAAGUGCUGGAUGAGCUUGACCAGCAGCUGGAGAUGGAGAGGGCGUAGGCACAGCUCAGUUAUGAUCAUGGUUCCAUGCAUAGGGAGGGGAGCACAGAAGGUGGCGUGCAAGGUGGGGGACAAAUGGCGGCCGCUCCAGAAAACCAUCAAAUUAUGGAGCUUUUAGAGGAGGAGGAGGAGCUCGAUCUGCCUGAGUGGGUGGGAGACCUGGUUGAAUGUGGCAAUGAGUUGCUCAAACCAUGGAGCCAGAGCAGAGAACGUGAAUUGUUUUGAACAUUAUCAUUAGACCAAUUAAUUACCCUUAUUUAGUCUUAUUAUUUAUUUUUCUUUUAAAUCUACAUCAUUAAACUUAUAUUUUUUCUUAUAUCUUUUCUUGGUAUAUCACGGCGUGGGCCCUCUGGCGUCCCUGGGCAAUUCAACCGGCACGAGAGAACGAAGAACAAAAGCAGGUGCAAUGGUCUCCCACCCCACUGACUGGUAGCGGGAGCAACUCACCCCGGGGGCUGUCGCUGCAGCCCGGUUGCUCCAGCGGGCAGUCACCGCCUCCCCCUCAACCAGCUCACCCCUGCUGCCAACGCAAGGAUCAUUUUUAUCAGGCCAACGUAGAAGUACAUUACCAGAAGAUGAACAGUUAAAUCUCCAUCCCACAUAAUUUAUUUAUAAUCUUUAAAAAAUGCACAAAGUAAUGAUAUUGGAUAAAGAACUUCAUUUCUUUUAGUAUUUAUUUUUCCUGUA